CCUUCAACAGUACUAGGGGAACCUGUGUGGUAAUCGACACUCCACGUUAAUCUUCACCUUUCCUUGAAAUCUUCAGCCUGUAUACCUCCGUCACAACUCACCUUUAAGAGCUCAAUAGUGAGUGAAAAGUAAGUUCACUACUUCAUGGCAGGUCAAGGUGCAGCCUAUGGAAAGGAACAUCAUGGGUGACAAUUCGUUAAAAGAUUAAUGAAUCCUCUCUGGAACACAGAGAAGUGAAAAUGGACUUAGAAGUAAGGAGCUCUUUAGAAAAAUCUCCUGAAAAACUCCCUAGAAGGUGCACAAAUC
rnacentral:rRNA from 1 species